GUAGGGGGCAAGCGUUGUCCGGAUUUACUGGGCGUAAAGCGCGUGUAGGUGGGAAGGCAAGUCCGGUGUAAAAGCCCACGGCUCAACCGUGGAAGGACGCUGGAAACUGCCUUUCUUGAGGGUGAUAGAGGGAAGUGGAAUUGCCGGUGUAGCGGUGAAAUGCGUAGAUAUCGGCAGGAACACCCGUGGCGAAGGCGGCUUCCUGGAUCACCCCUGACGCUGAGACGCGAAAGCGUGGGGAGCGAACGGGAUUAGAUACCCCGGUAGUCCACGCCGUAAACGAUGGUCACUAGGUGUAUGGGGUAUCGACCCCCCAUGUGCCGCAGCUAACGCAAUAAGUGACCCGCCUGGGGAGUACGGCCGCAAGGUUGAA
rnacentral:rRNA from 1 species